AGAGGUGGCAAGCGUUGUUCGGAAUUACUGGGCGUAAAGGGCGAGUAGGCGGCCUCCUAAGUCAGACGUGAAAUCCCCCGGCUUAACCUGGGAACUGCGUCUGAUACUGGGAAGCUUGAGUAUGGGAGAGGAAGGUAGAAUUCCAGGUGUAGCGGUGAAAUGCGUAGAUAUCUGGAGGAAUACCGGUGGCGAAGGCGGCCUUCUGGACCAUAACUGACGCUGAUCCGCGAAAGCUAGGGGAGCAAACGGG
rnacentral:rRNA from 1 species